rnacentral:sRNA from 1 species
GCUGGGCGCAGUGAUGCACACCUGUAUUCCCAGAGGCUUGGAGGCUGAGGCAGGAGGAUCAAGAGUUCAAAGCCAGCCUCAGCAACUUUGCAAGACCCUAAAAACUUAGAAAGACCCUGUCUCUA